rnacentral:misc_RNA from 1 species
GAUGAAGAACGUAGCGAAAUGCGAUAAGUAAUGUGAAUUGCAGAAUUCAGUGAAUCAUCGAAUCUUUGAACGCACAUUGCGCCCGCCAGUAUUCUGGCGGGCAUGCCUGUUCGAGCGUCAUUUCAACCAUCAAGCUCUGCUUGCGUUGGGGAUCCGCGGCUGCCCGCGGUCCCUCAAAACCAGUGGCGGGCUCGCUAGUCACACCGAGCGUAGUAACUUUACAUCGCUAUGGUCGUGCGGCGGGUGCUUGCCGUAAAACCCCCAAUUUUUAAGGUUGACCUCGGAUCAGGUAGGAAUACCCGCUGAACUUAAGCAUAUCAAUAAGCGGAGGA